rnacentral:rRNA from 1 species
AUUGAACGCUGGCGGCAUGCUUUACACAUGCAAGUCGAACGGCAGCACGGAGAAGCUUGCUUCUCUGGUGGCGAGUGGCGAACGGGUGAGUAAUAUAUCGGAACGUGUCCAAUAAUGGGGGAUAACUAGUCGAAAGAUUAGCUAAUACCGCAUACGCCCUGAGGGGGAAAGUGGGGGAUCUUCGGACCUCACGUUAAUGGAGCGGCCGAUAUCUGAUUAGCUAGUUGGUAGGGUAAAAGCCUACCAAGGCGACGAUCAGUAGCUGGUCUGAGAGGAUGAUCAGCCACACUGGGACUGAGACACGGCCCAGACUCCUACGGGAGGCAGCAGUGGGGAAUUUUGGACAAUGGGCGCAAGCCUGAUCCAGCCAUGCCGCGUGAGUGAAGAAGGCCUUCGGGUUGUAAAGCUCUUUCGCAAGGAAAGAAAACUUACAUGUAAAUAAUAUGUGAGGUUGACGGUACC